rnacentral:tRNA from 7 species
GCCGGGGUAGCCUAGCCUGGGAAGGCGCUGGCCUGGAGAGCCAGUGGGCUCUGCCCACCAGGGUUCAAAUCCCUGCCCCGGCGCCA